rnacentral:rRNA from 1 species
ACGUAGGGUGCAAGCGUUAAUCGGAAUUACUGGGCGUAAAGCGUGCGCAGGCGGUUUAGUAAGACAGGUGUGAAAUGCCCGGGCUUAACCUGGGAACUGCACUUGUGACUGCUAGGCUAGAGUGUGUCAGAGGGGGGUAGAAUUCCACGUGUAGCAGUGAAAUGCGUAGAUAUGUGGAGGAAUACCGAUGGCGAAGGCAGCCCCCUGGGAUAACACUGACGCUCAUGCACGAAAGCGUGGGGAGCAAACAG